AGCAAAAAGCCUGAUGGUAAUGAUUCUACUCACCAGAACAAAUUCAAUAAGCUGUAGUUGUUCUGGUGACUAUAGUGUCCACACAAGUUUUGUUCCCAUACAUCCCUCUUAAGUUUCCAUACUUAAGUAAGAGUAUGUGAAAAGUAGUUAGGGUUGCCACCUUUCUUGGAAAAACAUAUUGGCCUUACUAAUUUGCAUAAUUAAAUAUGUGUGGGUGACAUCACAUGAUGUAAAUCA